rnacentral:lncRNA from 1 species
AGACGGAGACAGUGAUGUGGACUGAGUCACCUGUUAGUUAGCUGGAUUUGGUCAUUCACUGUGCAUACUUACUUCAAAACAUCUAGUCAAAUACCACAAACAUAAGUCACUUUUUUCAAUUUAAAAGACAAACCAUAAGACUGGAAAGAUGACUGUGUGGUUAAGAGCAUGGGCUGCCCUUCCAAAGGACCUGGGCACCCUUAUAGCUGAUUGUAACCAUCUGUAACUCCAGUCCCAGGGAUCGGACACUUUCUUCUGGCCUCCUCCAGCACCAGGCAUGCACAUGGUGCACAGACGUACAUGGUUCAAGAACAUACAUUGAUGGGGAAUUUCCUUCUGUAUAUAUGUUUCUCUUAUUGUCUGAUGAAUGAAACACUGUUGGCCAAUAAAGCAGGAAAAUGGGUGAGACUAGGAGAUGAGGAGAAUUCUGGGAAUCAUGGGAAGACAAAGUUGCCAUGAGGUUCCAGGAGGAUAUAAAAAGUUAAUUAAGACAAACUAGUUUUGAAGUAUUCAUUCUUUAUCUGAAAUUCAAAUUUAACAUUACAUAUUAUAUUUUCUUUGACAAUCCUAACAAGUACAGAUGCUUCCGAAAAACUUCUACAGAGGGUGGAAGUGAGAGGAAGCCCAAGCUAAUGCCCUGUCCUUUAAAAUAUAUAAUUAGCUCUAGAGGUCUUACUGUUGAAACUGCUAUUUAUUUAUGCUUUCUAACUUGCUAUUUAUUUCACUUUCUUUCUUGUUUGCAGUGUGCUCUGCCACUAAACUACAUCCUAGCCUUGAGGUGUUUGCUCCAGCUGCAAGAUGGGAAACCUCAAGGCACUUACUGGACAAGGACCGAGAUGGCCACCUCCCCAAACACACUUUCUGCAGACAGCCCUGGUGGCUAACAGUUACCAAGCCAGCAAAGGAAACCCUCAAAAAGAAGUCAUGUUGUACUAGAAUAACUUCCUGUAUUCUUUUCCUGCCAACAUGGGUCAUCCAAAGCCAGCAGCUUCUGGGAAAGAAACAAGCCUGCAAGGGUAACCCCACUUUGUUAAAGAAGACUUGGAAGUCAGUGUGGCGCUACCCCAAAAGGGAUGUAUGAAAAAGAACAAACCAAGAGGGCAGCCCUCUGAGGACAGCUGGAGCUGCCAGGGUUGCUCAGAGUUGAACUGUCCUUCAUUGAGAGACCUCUGAUAAAGGUACAGGCCCUAUGGUGAGAGACAUAAGAGUCUGUAGGUGUCACCUAGGAGAUGUCAGAUUCUAUUCUCUGUGCUUCACCCAUAUUAAAUCUUCCAAGUGUAGGCUGGAGAGAUGGUUCUGAGGUUAAGAGCAUUGGUUGCUCAUCCAGAAGCCCUGUGUUCAAUUCCCAGCAACCACCUGGUGGCUCACACCUAUCUAUAAUGGGAUCUGGUGCCCUCUUCUGGUGUGCAAAUAUGAAGACAGAACACUGUCUACAAAAUAUAUAAAUAAAUUUUUAAAAAGUCAUCCA